UUAUCUUCAGUGCAAGCGGUGUGUUUAUCAUUCCGUUGGCCUGGUUUCGACUCAGAACACUUGCACAUAUCCUGCUGGUAUACAUGGACAAAGGUACCGUGGCGUUGGAUAACGCACCAAAGAAACAUCUUCAAACAUGCAGGCGAGUUGUGAUCACGAACGUUCCAACACGAUGUGUGUAAGGAUUCGCAUUCUUCAAGACAUCCAAGCUUAACGUCCACGAUAGGUCAACGUCACUAGGUUUUAUUUUCUUUAUAUCACUUCCUUAGUUGACUUCAGUUUUAUGAACAGCAUCUUCGGUGAAAUUGCAGUACAGAAGAAUAUUUCUGGGAUUUAUUUAGAUAGUCCGCCAUCCAUCAGACGUCCUUCACUUCAAUGCAUCUUGGAAACAUUAUCUGAUGUCCUAUGCCUUCAACGACACCACCAUCAUCAUACCUGAUCGAC